rnacentral:rRNA from 1 species
GAUGAACGCUGGCGGCGUGCCUAAUACAUGCAAGUCGAGCGAACGGACGAGAAGCUUGCUUCUCUGAUGUUAGCGGCGGACGGGUGAGUAACACGUGGAUAACCUACCUAUAAGACUGGGAUAACUUCGGGAAACCGGAGCUAAUACCGGUUAAUAUUUUGAACCGCAUGGUUCAAAAGUGAAAGACGGUCUUGCUGUCACUUAUAGAUGGAUCCGCGCUGCAUUAGCUAGUUGGUAAGGUAACGGCUUACCAAGGCAACGAGGCAUAGCCGACCUGAGAGGGUGAGCGGCCAGACUGGAACGGAGACAGGGGCCAGACUCCGACGGGAGGCAGCAGGAGGGAAUCGGUCGCGAUGGGCGAGAGCCUGACGGAGCAACGGCGCGUGAGUGAUGAAGGUCUUCGGAUCGUAAAACUCUGUUAUUAGGGAAGAACAUAUGUGUAAGUAACUGUGCAGAUCUUGACGGUACCUAAGCAGAAAGCCACGGCUAACUACGUG